rnacentral:rRNA from 1 species
UACGUAGGGGGCAAGCGUUGUCCGGAAUCAUUGGGCGUAAAGAGCGUGUAGGCGGUCCGGUAAGUCGGCUGUGAAAGUCCAGGGCUCAACCCUGGGAUGCCGGUCGAUACUGCCGGACUAGAGUUCGGAAGAGGCGAGUGGAAUUCCCGGUGUAGCGGUGAAAUGCGCAGAUAUCGGGGGGAACACCUAUGGCGAAGGCAGCUCGCUGGGACGUUACUGACGCUGAGACGCGAAAGCGUGGGGAGCAAACAGG